CGGGACGGGUGAGUAAUGUCUGGGAAACUGCCUGAUGGAGGGGGGUAACUACUGGAAACGGUAGCUAAUACCGCAUAACGUCGCAAGACCAAAGAGGGGGACCUUCGGGCCUCUUGCCAUCGGAUGUGCCCAGAUGGGAUUAGCCAGUAGGUGGGGUAACGGCUCACCUAGGCGACGAUCCCUAGCUGGUCUGAGAGGAUGACCAGCCACACUGGAACUGAGACACGGUCCAG
rnacentral:rRNA from 1 species